GCCAAAAACUAAAUAAAAUUUACUCGAUUUUGUGUUUUUGCAGUGUAUUUUUAACCUACUCAAUAGUCGGCUCAUCAAAAACCUCAAACUACAAAACAGUCUGUGUCUCUGAUUGAGCUUCAUCUUCUCAUCGUGUGGAGCAAUAAGUGAAAAGACGUGCAUUUAAAAACCAACAUGAAGAAGUUGUGCAAACACCGACAGGCAUCGUGACUCCAGAGCUGCACAGAGAGGACAGGCAGCAGAGACUCUGUGAUCUGCUCAGGAUGGGGUUAGAUUUUUCUAGUAGAAGCUGCAAGUCUUCAGUCAUUCUGAUCCAACAUGAUGUCUGCAUUAAAAUAAUCUUGUUCUCACCGUG